rnacentral:rRNA from 1 species
GACGAACGCUGGCGGCGUGCUUAACACAUGCAAGUCGAACGGUAAGGCCCUGCUUUUGUGGGGUGCUCGUGUGGCGAACGUGAGUGUAACACGUGAGUAACCUGCCCUUGACUUUGGUAUAACUUCAGGAAACUGUGUCUAAUACCAGAUAGGAUCUCCUGCUACAUGGUGGGGGUGGGAAAGUUUCGGCGGUUUGGGAUGGACCCGCGGCUUUUCAGUUGGUUGUGGGGGUAUUGGCUUACCAUGGCGCGGACGGGUAGCCGGCCUGAGAGGGUGACCGGCCACAUUGGGACUGAGACACGGCCCAGACUCCUACGGGAGGCAGCAGUGGGGAAUAUUGCACAAUGGGCGGAAGCCUGAUGCAGCAACGCCGCGUGCGGGAUGACGGCCUUCGGGUUGUAAACCGCUUUGGGCUGGGAAGAAGCGAGAGUGACGGUACCGGGUAAAGAAGCACCGGCUAACUACGUG